rnacentral:rRNA from 1 species
AGACGUCUACAUUAGAUACCCGUGUAGUCCUAGCCGUAAACGAUACUCGCUAGGUGUCGGCCACGGUGCGACCGUUGUCGGUGCCGUAGGGAAGCCGUGAAGCGAGCCACCUGGGAAGUACGGCCGCAAGGCUGAAACUUAAAGGAAUUGGCGGGGAGCACCACAAGAGGUGGAGGCUGCGGUUCAAUUGGACUCAACGCCGGAAAACUCAUCGGGAGCGACAGCAGUAUGAUUGCCAGGUUGAUGACCUUGCUUGACAAGCUG